ensembl:snoRNA SNORA21 small nucleolar RNA, H/ACA box 21
CCCCUUUUAAAAGCACUCAAUGGGCCUGUGCCUAAUGACCUAUUGAGCCGUCAAGAAAGGGGAGAGUGAAAACAUCGCUUUUGGGUGAAGUGGCAACAUGUUGUGUUGUUUGCUUCAAUCGGUGGUGUGACAAGG